rnacentral:rRNA from 1 species
GACGUAGGGCGCGAGCGUUGUCCGGAUUUAUUGGGCGUAAAGAGCUCGUAGGCGGCUUGUCGCGUCGACUGUGAAAACCCGCGGCUCAACUGCGGGCCUGCAGCCGAUACGGGCAGGCUAGAGUUCGGUAGGGGAGACUGGAAUUCCUGGUGUAGCGGUGAAAUGCGCAGAUAUCGAGAGGAACACCUGCGGCGAAGGCGACUUCCUGGCCUGUUCUUGACGCUGAGGCGCGAAAGCCAGGGGAGCGAACGGG